GCGAAGGUGGCGGAAUUGGUAGACGCACUGGAUUUAGGUUCCAGCGCCGACGAGGCAUGGGGGUUCGAGUCCCUUCCUUCGCACCA
rnacentral:tRNA from 1 species